rnacentral:rRNA from 1 species
AACGUAGGGGGCGAGCGUUGUCCGGAAUUACUGGGCGUAAAGAGCGUGUAGGCGGUCCAUUAAGUCAGGUGUGAAACCUGCGGGCUCAACCCGGAGAGUGCACAUGAAACUGAUGGACUUGAGAGCAGGAGAGGGAAGUGGAAUUCCUAGUGUAGCGGUGAAAUGCGUAGAUAUUAGGAGGAACACCAGUGGCGAAGGCGGCUUUCUGGCCUGCAACUGACGCUGAGACGCGAAAGCGUGGGGAG